rnacentral:tRNA from 1 species
GCCGGGUUGGCGGAAUGGUAGACGCGGUGGUCUCAAACACCACUGUCCGCGAGGACGUGCGGGUUCGAGUCCCGCACCCGGCA